rnacentral:lncRNA from 1 species
GCUUGUGAGGGGAGAGAAAAUACAUGUCAACUUUGUGUCUUGAAUUUGUGUUGAAAUAGCAUGUCUCUUUUGAAUUAUUUAAAAAUUAAGAAUUUUUGGAUAGUGACGUUUUAGAUGUAAAUAAAGUUUCAUUCUUUUUUUUUUUAAAAUGUAAUAACCAAUCUGUUCUAUCUGCCAUCUGUAUAGUCCGCCACCCAAACAAACCAAAGAUAUAGACGGUCAAAAUUUUGUUAAAAUUAAAUGAUUACACUUUGGCUUAAUUAAUAAAAUGGUCCCUUAAAGACAUUUUUGGUUUCAGAUUGGUCCCUUAAAGAAAAAAAGGUCCAAAUAGGUCCCUUAAAGAAAAAAAAGCCCG